GACAGAGGGUGCAAACGUUGUUCGGAAUUACUGGGCGUAAAGCGUGUGUAGGCGGCAGCGCAAGUCGGGCGUGAAAUCCCACGGCUCAACCGUGGAAGUGCACUCGAAACUGCGCAGCUAGAGUCCUGGAGAGGAAGGUGGAAUGCUUGGUGUAGAGGUGAAAUUCGUAGAUAUUCGCAAGAACACCAGUGGCGAAGGCGGCUUACUGGUCCGGUUCUGACGCUGAGGCGCGAAAGCGUGGGGAGCAAACAGG
rnacentral:rRNA from 1 species